GAGAAAUUCCAAUCGAACCUGGAGAUAGCUGGUUCUCUCCGAAAUAGCUUUAGGGCUAGCCUCAAGUGAUGAUUAUUGGAGGUAGAGCACUGUUUGGACGAGGGGCCCCUCUCGGGUUACCGAAUUCAGACAAACUCCGAAUGCCAAUUAAUUUAACUUGGGAGUCAGAACAUGGGUGAUAAGGUCCGUGUUCGAAAGGGAAACAGCCCAGACCACCAGCUAAGGUCCCAAAAUAUAUGUUAAGUGGAAAAGGAUGUGGCGUUGCCCAGACAACUAGGAUGUUGGCUUAGAAGCAGCCAUCAUUUAAAGAGUGCGUAAUAGCUCACUAGUCGAGUGACACUGCGCCGAAAAUGUACCGGGGCUAAACAUAUUACCGAAGCUGUGGAUUGUCCUUUGGACAAUGGUAGGAGAGCGUUCUAAGGGCGUUGAAGCAUGAUCGUAAGGACAUGUGGAGCGCUUAGAAGUGAGAAUGCCGGUGUGAGUAGCGAAAGACGGGUGAGAAUCCCGUCCACCGAUUGACUAAGGUUUCCAGAGGAAGGCUCGUCCGCUCUGGGUUAGUCGGGUCCUAAGCUGAGGCCGACAGGCGUAGGCGAUGGAUAACAGGUUGAUAUUCCUGUACCACCUAUAAUCGUUUUAAUCGAUGGGGGGACGCAGUAGGAUAGGCGAAGCGUGCGAUUGGAUUGCACGUCUAAGCAGUAAGGCUGAGUAUUAGGCAAAUCCGGUACUCGUUAAGGCUGAGCUGUGAUGGGGAGAAGACAUUGUGUCUUCGAGUCGUUGAUUUCACACUGCCGAGAAAAGCCUCUAGAUAGAAAAUAGGUGCCCGUACCGCAAACCGACACAGGUAGUCAAGAUGAGAAUUCUAAGGUGAGCGAGCGAACUCUCGUUAAGGAACUCGGCAAAAUGACCCCGUAACUUCGGGAGAAGGGGUGCUCUUUAGGGUUAACGCCCAGAAGAGCCGCAGUGAAUAGGCCCAAGCGACUGUUUAUCAAAAACACAGGUCUCUGCUAAACCGUAAGGUGAUGUAUAGGGGCUGACGCCUGCCCGGUGCUGGAAGGUUAAGAGGAGUGGUUAGCUUCUGCGAAGCUACGAAUCGAAGCCCCAGUAAACGGCGGCCGUAACUAUAACGGUCCUAAGGUAGCGAAAUUCCUUGUCGGGUAAGUUCCGACCCGCACGAAAGGCGUAACGAUUUGGGCACUGUCUCAACGAGAGACUCGGUGAAAUCAUAGUACCUGUGAAGAUGCAGGUUACCCGCGACAGGACGGAAAGACCCCGUGGAGCUUUACUGUAGCCUGAUAUUGAAAUUCGGCACAGCUUGUACAGGAUAGGUAGGAGCCUUUGAAACGUGAGCGCUAGCUUACGUGGAGGCGCUGGUGGG
rnacentral:rRNA from 1 species